UUCAUUUGGGUCUAUUCAAAUGAACCUCAAUAGAUGAUUUGCGACAGGUACCAAUCAAAAGCAUCUCCAAGUGUCAUUCAGAACCUAUUUAAUGCAUGUAUAAUAAAAUAAAUAAGAUAUGCCAGAACAUAAUCUUUUACCAACGGCAACAUCCUCUGAAACAAUAUAGCUGGCAGCAAACGUUUGUGAGUCCAUGAAACCGGUCCGAGACCUAUCAGCACCAUGACGUAAUUACUGUUUAUGAGUAAUUACGGCAGCCGCAGUCACGCAUCUACACGCGCAAGGUUUUACGCGGAAAAACCGUUACAACCGUUGCAGCGCGAGCACAGGGACUGAGAGGAACAGCGCACCUAUCUGAGGUAAAACCUAACAAUUUUACUAUUCACUUUAUAAAAAAUUGAAAUUAACAUUAACGUUAUGUAGCCUAAUGUUAAUAUUAAAGCGUGGGCUGCGUAUUUUGAGUAUUUUUGAAGAAAAUAUCUAAGACCGGAUGUCUGGAAAUAAUGGGAAUCUUCAGAUAUGAAUCACAAAAGUGAUGUAACCUAUUUUUGAUAUAGUAGGGUAAAAAAAUAAUAUGAAUAGUAUAUAAAUGUAUAUUUAUCUUUGCAAAUGAACUUUUAUGUGAUAUCAUUCUCCUCUAAACUGCAAUUAUUUUUCUAGGGACUGAAACAAACACAGACUUUAUUCAAUGGACUACUCAAGAUGUAAUUGGUUGACUGGAAAACGUUUCCACAAAUUUAACCUAACAUUUCAAGAGAAUGAAAUUGAUGGGGAUACGUUAAUGAACCUAACUGAGAAGAAUAUGAUAGCUAAAUGUUUUCCUAAAAUGAAGGAUCAAGUUAAAUUCAUUAGACUACAGAAAAAAGUGUAAGAUUACACACAUCAGUCAUAAGUGUCCAACAAGUGACCGAUAAAACAAGGUGUGCUUAUCCCUUGUCACCGAAUACCAGUUCUUGAGAGACAAAACUGGAAGAGAAUAUGUAAGUAAGGAACCACAAGAUUUCAUCAAGGGUCCAACAGAUAACCAGUUCAGUGGUAAGUAUG